AACGAACGCUGGCGGCAUGCCUAACACAUGCAAGUCGAACGAGACCUUCGGGUCUAGUGGCGCACGGGUGCGUAACGCGUGGGAACCUGCCCUUAGGUUCGGAAUAACUCCCCGAAAGGGGUGCUAAUACCGGAUAAUGUCUUCGGACCAAAGAUUUAUCGCCUUUGGAGGGGCCCGCGUUGGAUUAGCUAGUGGGUAGGGUAAAAGCCUACCAAGGCGACGAUCCAUAGCUGGUCUGAGAGGAUGAUCAGCCACACUGGGACUGAGACACGGCCCAGACUCCUACGGGAGGCAGCAGUGGGGAAUAUUGGACAAUGGGCGAAAGCCUGAUCCAGCAAUGCCGCGUGAGUGAUGAAGGCCUUAGGGUUGUAAAGCUCUUUUACCCGGGAUGAUAAUGACAGUACCGGGAGAAUAAGCUCCGGCUAACUCCGUG
rnacentral:rRNA from 1 species